rnacentral:rRNA from 1 species
UACGUAGGGUGCGAGCGUUAAUCGGAAUUACUGGGCGUAAAGCGUGCGCAGGCGGUUUUGUAAGACAGGUGUGAAAUCCCCGGGCUUAACCUGGGAACUGCGCUUGUGACUGCAAGACUCGAGUACGGCAGAGGGGGUAGAAUUCCACGUGUAGCAGUGAAAUGCGUAGAGAUGUGGAGGAAUACCGAUGGCGAAGGCAGCCUCCUGGGCCAACACUGACGCUCAUGCACGAAAGCGUGGGGAGCAAACAGG